rnacentral:rRNA from 1 species
CGGACGGGUGAGUAACACGUGGGUAACCUACCUAUAAGACUGUGACAACUUCGGGAAACCGGAGCUAAUACCGGAUAAGAUAUCGAACCGCAUGGUUCGAUAGUGAAAGAUGGUUUUGCUAUCACUUAUAGAUGGACCCGCGCCGUAUUAGCUAGUUGGUGAGGUAACGGCUCACCAAGGCAACGAUACGUAGCCGACCUGAGAGGGUGAUCGGCCACACUGGAACUGAGACACGGUCCAGACUCCUACGGGAGGCAGCAGCA